UACGUAGGGGGCAAGCGUUGUUCGGAAAUACUGGGCGUAAAGCGCACGUAGGCGGCGCAGCAAGUCAGGGGUGAAAUCCCGGGGCUCAACCCCGGAACUGCCCUUGAAACUGCAGUGCUAGAAUCUUGGAGAGGCGAGUGGAAUUCCGAGUGUAGAGGUGAAAUUCGUAGAUAUUCGGAAGAACACCAGUGGCGAAGGCGACUCGCUGGACAAGUAUUGACGCUGAGGUGCGAAAGCGUGGGGAGCAAACAGG
rnacentral:rRNA from 1 species